rnacentral:misc_RNA from 1 species
AACCAUAGAAACCUGCGGAGUACCUGCGGAAGGAUCAUUAAAAAGAGUGUGUACCCCUCUGUAAAAUGAGUGGGUUACCUCCCGUCCUUUGUUGACCUCUUAGGAGGUUAUUUUGAACUUUCUGCUUCGGUGGGGUUAAACCUACCGGAACACCCUCAAAUUCUUAUCAUUUAAAAAUUGUUCAGUCUGAUUUUUGUUAAUAAAAACAAAAAACUUUUAACAACGGAUCUCAGAUCGGAA